CUCUGGUAAGCAUGCAGCUAACUAGCACUAUGGCUUGAGAGAAAGCCAAGCAGAAAGCAUAUACUCCGUCUGUUCUUUCCUCCAGUUGGCUCUAGUGAUUUCAUUUUUUUAACCACCUCUCAACCCAAAAGAGAUGAAUGAAGGAUCCCAGGAGUUAAACCGGAUAGUCACAGAACUCCCUAUGCCUGCACAUUGGUCCACAGGUAUGAAAAAGUGGAAUUUUUCUGCAGGUCAAGGGUAAUAUGCAUUGAAUAUCCCAGCUUGAUUUCCAAUGGGGUUUUAUGUAAUGGCGAAGAAUUUUAUUGAGCAAAAUUAAACAGGAGUAAAAUCUAAGCCUUCAAGGAAGAUUAACCUCAGCUUCAAGAAAACUACAGGCAGCAACGAAACUAAGCUGCAGGACUGUACCAGGGCACUUGUAAUAAAAAUCAGAUCAUUAUAGUGGAUUAUCCACUGCAAAUGACCCAACAGCAAGUGUGGUGCCAUCUUGGGAAGUGGAGGCAUCAGCACAAAUGAUCCAAACUCCUCAUAGAUUUCAACGAUCCAUUAAGCUGGUUCUAGAACACUACCACGCCAGCAGCAACAUCCUGGACUUCAUGAUCAGCUUCAGCAAUGGAAGCCUUUAGACAACUAUAUAUAAGAAACCCCUGGAUCACCACAUAUACACAGAUCCAGCAACCACCCCAGAUAUAUCAGAAAAUCUCUUAUUCAAAACUAGGCACUCAGAUACUGCAGAAUAUGCUCCAAGGAGAAAUUCCAGGAUACACACCUAAAUGUGCUUAGAACUGCCUUCACUAAACAGGGACACUCCACCAGAUAAGUAGAUUUGCAUCACGGAAUAGGCCUGGGAGAACCUGCUUCAGUAAAGAAAAGAAACCCUCUGACGACUCAUCCCUAGUUGUCACUUGCCACCCCUCGUUAUAACCCAUGAUAUGCAGUAUCAAUAAACAACCUUAUUCAAUGGGGACCACAUCCUGAAAUAAAUCUUUCCAGAAUCUUCUCUUCUCGCCUUCGAACAAUCCUACCUUGCCACAUUCAUCAUCAGAAGAAAGAUUCCCACAGACCAGGACACGCCAACUCAAAGUGUCACCAGACCCUGUCAGAACAACAGAUGCAAAACCUGCAGACAUAUCUCCACUGCUACAAUGAUCAAUACCACCUUCCCCAUGACAUAUCUUUCAAGAUUCCUGGGUCCUAAAUAUGCCUGUCACUAUACGUGGUGUUCCUCAGCUAGUGCAUCAAAUGCCCCAACAACAAUGGUGGGUGAAACCAGACAAUCACUACUUUCUUGAUUAAACUCUCUCACACACACACAAGACAAAACCCCCAUAUCACCCAUGGGUAAACCCUUUUUACACAGCAAUCACUCCAUAUCUGACCUGUCAGUCCUCAUCCUGAAAGGAAACCUGAACACCUCUAAAAGACAAGCCUGGGAACUUAAAUUCAUGAGUCCAGCAGAGGGCAACAAAAAUUAUUAGGGGGCUGGAGCACAUGAUUUGUAAGGAGAGGCUGAGGGAACUGGAAUUAUUUAGUCUGCAGAAGAGAAGAAUGAGGGGGGAUUUGAUAGCUGCUUUCAACUACCUGAAAGGGGGUUCCAGAGAGGAUCGAUCUGGAUUGUUCUCAGUGGUACCAGAUGACAGAACAAGGAAUAAUGGUCUCAAGUUGCAGUUUAGGUUGGAUAUUAGGAAAAACUUUUUCACUAGGAGGGUAGUGAAGCACUGGAAUGGUUUACCUAGAGAAGUGGAGGAAUCUCCUUCCUUGGAGGUUUUUAAGGUCAGGCUUCCAACCCUAGUAUUCUAUGAUUCUAACUCUGCUGGAUGCUGGAAACCAUGGACUUAACAGAGAGACUGGUUUUAUGACUCAUUACAACAAUUUGUAACACCACCCGACUGCCUGCUAAAUUUUUUCACUUCAUGUUGAGUGAUUUCCUACCGCAUGUGAACCCCUUACACUUAAGAAUCUGUCCCAUCUUAUAUUUAUGUUGGACUCUCUAGCUACCUUCUGCAGACCUGAGGAGGAUCUCUGUGAAGCUCAGAAGCUUGUCACUUCUGCCAACAGAAGUUGGUCUAGUAAAAGAUAUUACCUCAGUUACCUUGUCUCUGUCAAAAAAUUACUUCAUUGCAUUAACAAUGCUUGAGUUAUGAAUUUUUUUUUGCAGUUUUGCCAAACUACAAUUAGUGAAAAGCUAUUUAAAUAUUUUAUAGCUGUGCUGUGUUACACAGUAAUUGUGUACUUAAUAAUAUAUGGUGUACAACAUUACUUACGAGAGACGUUAAUUUGCUUCUUAAAGAAGUUUUAAAAAUUAGCUAAAAUACUUCAUGUCCUGUAUGUUUAUUGUUUCAUAAUAUUACUCACAUCUUUAAAUUACAUG